GACGGAUUUAUCACACAACAAUUUGUCAGGAGAAAUUCCUCAUGGCACUCAACUUCAAAGCUUUGAUCCCUCUGCUUAUGAGGGAAAUGCUCAUCUAUGCGGUGCUCCCCUUCCAAAAUGUCCCACAAGCCCAACACAAGAUCAUCCAAAUGAUGAGAAUUCUGAAGAAGAUGAGCAAAUUUUCGGUCGAGGUUUCUUUAUCAGCUCGUCCAUCGGAUUCGUAACAGGAUUUUGGGGAAUUUGCAGCCUAAUAUUUCUGAACAAAUCCUUCAGAUAUGCCUAUUUUAGGUUAAUGAGUGGCAUAUAUGACAAAGUGUACGUGAUCGUUGCUAUAAAUGUGGCCAAACUGCGCAGGUGGAGGAGAGGUUCAACUUGAAGUCCUUUACGUGGGGAAGCUAGCUGCUUCACAAGUUUGCCCUGUAAGGUUCUUCCAUCGUCAUCCGAUGAGUACUAAAAUGUUAAGGCAUUUGUUUUAUCCAUCUGCUGUGCAAGUUUGCGACGGAAAAUUAAACGAGCUAUGUUUGUGAUAAUUGUUCAAGCCUUUUAUGUUCUGCUAGUUUAGUUUGCAAAAUAAAUAAAUAAUUGCACUGUAAAAUCGGACACUGGUUUUUCGGAGUCAAUAUAUCGACAUGUGCUUGUUGUGUGGUUUGAUUUGAGAUAUUGCUUUGAGCUUCAAA